ensembl:snoRNA
CCUCCUUUCUUGGCAUGCACCCUGUCCUCUGUGUUAUGGAGGGACAUAAAGUCCAGUGCUUUGUCUUCAGUGGCAGAACGUUUCCAUUUUCUGGUUCUAUCCUCAAUUGCUGAUAUCUAU